AGCUUGAGGAAAAGUGCUGGGGAAGCUCUUUCCUAGGAUUUGACAUUGAAAAAUGACCUUUAGGAACAUCUGAAAAGGUUUGUACUGUUCAUCUUGAGGACAAACCCCAUGGCUUUCAAGGCUGAGUGCCGUUGCUGCGUUUGUUUCAACAUACGGGAUUUGGGUUUGGUUUUUUUAAUAAGAGACUUAACCUUUUGCAUGUUUGAUUUCAAGCGCUGCUCAAAUACCUUGCCAGGAAAAAUAAUGUCCCUGCUCAGCUGAGUGUAAGCAGGUGGUGCUGAGAUUGCCUGAAUUAUGUUGAGUACCUUUGGUAAUUCAAGACUGAACCUCAGCUGGGCCAGAACGGCAGUUACCCAGCUGGAAAAGAAGUGGAAUCUCCUAAUCUGCAGUCAUGGGACCAGGAAUCCAGGCUGGAUUGUAGCUCCUCAAUUGUUAGGGCAUGACUUCACGUUCCCAGGCUGUGCAGAAGCCGUGCCCACACCAUCACGGGUUCCAACAGAGCCACAGACCCCUCCUGCUGACACCGGAGUUACACCGGAGCCACAGACCCCUCCUGCUGCGGGCGCUCCUGGGGCUGAACGCAUGCGCGGGAGCUGAGCCCGUGGCUCUGCGGGUCUGUGGGUCGUUUGCUGCCCGUGCACGGUUUCCUCUGCACAGCCGUCGAGAGCCUCCCAUCCCACGGUGCCUCGGCACAGCAGCCCAGAGGAUGCCGCAGCCCUGAUAAUGAGGAUGGUGAUGCAGCGAGGAAGGCUGGUAGGCAUCGGCACUCUGUCCCGGCUUCCGUUGCUUGGGCUUUUUUACCCGCUAAUCAGCCAGGUAUUAUUCUGCAGUGAGUUCAAUCCCGUCUCUCUGAGAGGGCUGUCUGGCACCCAGCAAGAGGACAAAGUGGGUGAUUACUUUUUGUGCUCUCAGAGAUAAGGAGCUUGAGAGAGGCGCGCGGCCUCACCGAGAAAGGAUGAAGCCAUUCAUAGGCUGAAGUUAAAAGAGUGUGAAGAAAGAUAAGGAGCUAAAAUGAGAAUAAAAUGAAGGUAGCAGACCGGCCCAGACAAGUAAUCAACAGAAAUUCAUAAGCUUGUCAGGCACAGGCGAUGGGAGUGGAGUCAGGAGCCCAGAAAGUAGAAUGGGAUUGCUAGUACUGAACCAGAGCAAAUUGAAAUUAAUUCUUCUCCAUGUGUUUUUGCAGAAGCGGGAGCUGCUGCCCGUCCACCGUGAGGCAGAGACCUGCAUCACUUCUUGGUGCAGAAAGGCCCUGCCCAACGCCCUGGUGCCCAUUGACCGGUGCCGCUGCGAGGAGCUGCAGGACGCGGUGGUGGAGAGGUGGCAGGUUGGAGCCCUCUGCCUCAUCGGACCCACCAGGAGACUCCUUCCAAGCUGGUCCAUAGCAAACCCUCCUCCAGGGAUGCAGUGUUCUCCUCCGCGCUCCAGCCAGGAGAGGCACACGAACGAUACGGCACAUGCACAGCCAGCUUCGCGUCAAGGCAAUGAUCUAUUCAUUUAUUUCUACGUCUACAAUGCUCCAAGUUCUUCAGCAGCUCCAAGAGGAAGCAGCAGCUCAGCAGCCACCAGAGAAUCGCUCGGAGCCUCUUACCUACCAGGCAGUAGCUUUCAAAAAAAAAAUCUGCUUACCAAGGACUGGCUUUGGCUCUUUCUCAAGAGCUCCUUCCAAAUCCAAGGUCUGUCUGGCAGUCUCCACGCUAAUAAACACUCGCGCAUUAGUAGUUGUGGAGUUUUCAUCUUCUGCUGAGGAGGUAUGAAUUAUGCAGCAGGGGAGAGCGUGAGUUAGUGGUGUGUAAAUCACUCGGUGGCACCAGCUCCCCUCGCCUGCAGGUACGCGGUGCAGAGCUGCGAGGAGCCCUGGGCUGCUCUGCCAACCUGACUCCGGCUGCCUGCAAGUCAGCACAAGGGCUCCUGCGCGGGUUUGUGCC